GACGAACGCUGGCGGCAUGCCUAAUACAUGCAAGUCGAGCGAACAGAUGAAGUGCUUGCACUUCUGACGUUAGCGGCGAACGGGUGAGUAACACGUAAGGAAUCUACCUAUAAGCGGGGGAUAACAUUCGGAAACGGGUGCUAAUACCGCAUAAUAUCUUCUUCCGCAUGGAAGAAGAUUGAAAGACGGCUCUGCUGUCACUUAUAGAUGACCUUGCGGUGCAUUAGUUAGUUGGUGGGGUAAUGGCCUACCAAGACAAUGAUGCAUAGCCGACCUGAGAGAGCGAUGGGCCACAGUGGAAGUGAGACACGGGCCAGACGCGUACGGGGAGCAGCAGUAGUGAAUCUUCCGCAAUGGGCGAAAGCCAGACGGAGCAAUGCCGCGUGAGUGAAGAAUGCCUUCGAGUCGUAAAACUCUGUUAUAAGAGAAGAACAAAUUGUAGAGUAACUGCUACAGUCUUGACGGUAUCUUAUCAGAAAGAGACGGCUAACUACGUGCCAGCCGCUGCAGUAA
rnacentral:rRNA from 1 species